UUCAUGGAGAGUUUGAUCCUGGCUCAGGACGAACGCUGGCGGCGUGCCUAAUACAUGCAAGUCGAGCGGACCGACGGGAGCUUGCUCCCUUAGGUCAGCGGCGGACGGGUGAGUAACACGUGGGUAACCUGCCUGUAAGACUGGGAUAACUCCGGGAAACCGGGGCUAAUACCGGAUGCUUGAUUGAACCGCAUGGUUCAAUCAUAAAAGGUGGCUUUUAGCUACCACUUACAGAUGGACCCGCGGCGCAUUAGCUAGUUGGUGAGGUAACGGCUCACCAAGGCGACGAUGCGUAGCCGACCUGAGAGGGUGAUCGGCCACACUGGGACUGAGACACGGACCAGACUCCUACGGGAGGCAGCAGUAGGGAAUCU
rnacentral:rRNA from 1 species